GAGUUUGAUCAUGGCUCAGGGUGAAUGCUGGCGGCGUGGAUGAGGCAUGCAAGUCGAGAGGGUUUAGACCCUCGGCAGACGAGGUAGGAACACGUAGGUACGUACCCCAAAGUCAGGGAUAACCCGGCGAAAGUCGGAGUAAUACUUGAUAGUCUCUUCGGAGUAAAGAUUUAUCGCUUUGGGAACGGCCUGCGGGCUAUCAGCUUGUUGGUACGGUAACGGCGUACCAAGGCUACGACGGCUAGGGGAGGUGAGAGCCUGACCCCCACCGAUGGAACUGCGACACGGUCCAUACUCCUACGGGAGGCCGCAGUCGAGAAUCUUCCGCAAUGGACGAAAGUCUGACGGAGCGACGCCGCGUGGUGGAUGAAGUCCUUAGGGACGUAAACACCUUUUAUGAGGGAGGAAGUUUAUUGACGUUACCUCAUGAAUAAGGGGCUCCCAAUUCUGUGCCAGCAGCCGCGGUAC
rnacentral:rRNA from 1 species